UACGAAGGGGGCUAGCGUUGUUCGGAAUUACUGGGCGUAAAGCGUGCGCAGGCGGCUUCUCAAGUCAGGGGUGAAAGCCCAGAGCUCAACUCUGGAAUUGCCUUUGAGACUGAGUGGCUUGAGUACGAGAGAGGUGAGUGGAAUUCCCAGUGUAGAGGUGGAAUUCGUAGAUAUUGGGAAGAACACCGGUGGCGAAGGCGGCUCACUGGCUCGUAACUGACGCUGAGGCGCGAAGGCGUGGGGAGCAAACAGG
rnacentral:rRNA from 1 species